rnacentral:rRNA from 1 species
GUAGGGCGGGACACGUGGUAUCCUGUCUGAAUAUGGGGGGACCAUCCUCCAAGGCUAAAUACUCCUGACUGACCGAUAGUGAACCAGUACCGUGAGGGAAAGGCGAAAAGAACCCCGGCGAGGGGAGUGAAAAAGAACCUGAAACCGUGUACGUACAAGCAGUGGGAGCACAGGUUUACCUGUGUGACUGCGUACCUUUUGUAUAAUGGGUCAGCGACUUAUAUUCUGUAGCAAGGUUAACCGUAUAGGGGAGCCGGAGGGAAACCGAGUCUUAAUUGGGCGUUAAGUUGCAGGGUAUAGACCCGAAACCCGGUGAUCUAGCCAUGGGCAGGUUGAAGGUUGGGUAACACUAACUGGAGGACCGAACCGACUAAUGUUGAAAAAUUAGCGGAUGACCUGUGGCUGGGGGUGAAAGGCCAAUCAAACCGGGAGAUAGCUGGUUCUCCCCGAAAGCUAUUUAGGUAGCGCCUCGUGAAUUCAUCUCCGGGGGUAGAGCACUGUUUCGGCUAGGGGGCCAUCCCGGCUUACCAACCCGAUGCAAACUGCGAAUACCGGAGAAUGUUAUCACGGGAGACACACGGCGGGUGCUAACGUCCGUCGUGAAGAGGGAAACAACCCAGACCGCCAGCUAAGGUCCCAAAGUCAUGGUUAAGUGGGAAACGAUGUGGGAAGGCCCAGACAGCCAGGAUGUUGGCUUAGAAGCAGCCAUCAUUUAAAGAAAGCGUAAUAGCUCACUGGUCGAGUCGGCCUGCGCGGAAGAUGUAACGGGGCUAAACCAUGCACCGAAGCUGCGGCAGCGAACGUAUCACCCAAGACAACUUUACGGAGUUGACGAUUGACGGAGCGAAGCGACGUCAAAGCGUUCAUUAAAGUCGAGUUGGCUUAGGGAUACGUUCGUUGGGUAGGGGAGCGUUCUGUAAGCCUGUGAAGGUGUGUCGUGAGGCAUGCUGGAGGUAUCAGAAGUGCGAAUGCUGACAUAAGUAACGAUAAAGCGGGUGAAAAGCCCGCUCGCCGGAAGACCAAGGGUUCCUGUCCAACGUUAAUCGGGGCAGGGUGAGUCGACCCCUAAGGCGAGGCCGAAAGGCGUAGUCGAUGGGAAACGGGUUAAUAUUCCCGUACUUGGUGUUACUGCGAAGGGGGGACGGAGAAGGCUAUGUUGGCCGGGCGACGGUUGUCCCGGUUUAAGCGUGUAGGUGUGUGUUCCAGGUAAAUCCGGUUCACUUUAACACUGAGGCGUGACGACGAGGCACUACGGUGCUGAAGCAACAAAUGCCCUGCUUCCAGGAAAAGCCUCUAAGCAUCAGGUAACACGAAAUCGUACCCCAAACCGACACAGGUGGUCAGGUAGAGAAUACCAAGGCGCUUGAGAGAACUCGGGUGAAGGAACUAGGCAAAAUGGUGCCGUAACUUCGGGAGAAGGCACGCUGACACGUAGGUGAAGUGAUUUACUCA